rnacentral:snRNA from 1 species
ACCGUUUCUUGGUCUUUUGGCUAAGAUCAGGUGUAGUAUCUGUUCUUACCAGUUUAAGAUACCAAGAAGAUUCUGCUACGCACGGUCUCCGUGUUGGUUAAGUCCGCACCAUCC